rnacentral:rRNA from 1 species
GCCAAGCGAAAGUGAUAAGUAUCCCACCUGGGGAGUACGUUCGCAAGAAUGAAACUCAAAGGAAUUGACGGGGGCCCGCACAAGCGGUGGGGCAUGUGGUUUAAUUCGAUGAUACGCGAGGAACCUUACCAGGGCUUAAAUGCAGGCUGCAUAAGCUAGAGAUAGCUUUUUCUUCGGACUGCCUGCAAGGUGCUGCAUGGUUGUCGUCAGCUCGUGCCGUGAGGUGUCAGGUUAAGUCCUAUAACGAGCGCAACCCCUACCGUUAGUUGCCAGCAUGUCAAGAUGGGGACUCUAACGGGACUGCCGGUGCAAACCGCGAGGAAGGUGGGGACGACGUCAAAUCAUCACGGCCCUUACGUCCUGGGCUACACACGUGCUACAAUGGCCGGUACAGAGGGAAGCCACCCCGCGAGGGGGCGCGGAUCUACAAAACCGGUCACAGUUCGGAUCGGGGUCUGUAACUCGACCCCGUGAAGCUGGAAUCGCUAGUAAUCGGAUAUCAGCCAUGAUCCGGUGAAUACGUUCCCGGGCCUUGUACACACCGCCCGUCAAGCCAUGGAAGCCGGGAGUGCCUGAAGUCCUCACCGCAAGGAGCGGCCUA